ensembl:lncRNA
AUCUGCGAUGGCAGAGCUGUGACUCGGCGUUUUGAGUCACCUCUCCAGCCAGCUUUUUAGAAUUGCUGCUUCAUUUGGAGAUGGUCGUUUUUUUGCUACAUAGCAAUUCUUCAUUUUUCAUGUACAGAUAAAGGCUAAAAAGAAAAUGAAGAAGCCCUUUUGUCCAUACAUGAACAAGUUUUUCAAUUACAGGAUGGAACUCGGGACCUUGCACUUGUGAGGCAGGCAGCAGAACUACUGAACUAAAUCCCCAGCCCUUAUUUUUGUUUUGUUUGUUUGUUGUUUUUUGGUACCAGGGAUUGAACUCAGGUCCUUGUGCUUAUUUUUGUUUUUUGAGGCAGGGCCUCAUUAUGUAGUUCAGGCUGGCCUCAAACUCAUGCCAGUCCUCCUGCCUCAGCCUCCUGAGUGCUAGAAUUAUAGGCAAAACCCUGUCUCAAAAAAAAAAAUUAAGUUGUAAGCUGUUAUAAAAUUGGGGCUGGGAAUUUAGCUCAGUGGUGCCACUGCCUGCCUUGCAAGUGCAAGGUCCUGAGUUUUAUCCCCCAUACCAAAAAAUGAAUAAAUAAAAUGAAAUGAAAUUGGGGUGAGAUGAGCACUUAAUGCUAAGUGUAAAUUAGACACCAGUUUAAAUAUCACGUGGUUUCUCUUAUAUGAGAAGCUCAAUAUAUAAGUAAAAUGCAAAAUAAAAGACAAUAGGAAAAAAGAGAGAAAAGAAAGUUACUGUAGGCCAGGCCUGCUAUCCAGCACUCAGGAGGCUGAGUAGGAGGAUUGCUAAGAAUUCCAGGCCACCUUGAGCUACAUAGUACAAGGUCAGCCUGAACUACACAGGGAGAUGCUGUCUCCAAAGAAAGUUAUUGUAAUUCAACAUGGACAAUAUAUUUAAAAGUGUACUUUGAUUUAGUAUAAUCAUUUCAUGUAUUAUUUAUUUAGGUUUGAGACAGGGUCUUACUGUGUAGCCCAGGCUGGCCUUGAAUUCAUGGUGAUCUUCCUGCCCCAGCCUCCCAAGUGCUGGCAUUAUAGGCAUAAACCACCAGGCCUGGCAAGUGUUUUAUAUGUUUUUUGGCCGUUAGUCUGGAUGUUAAUCUUUACAUAUGAUAAUUAACUUUAUAAGGACUUACAAGAUAAAUAAAUGAAUCUGAUUCUGACAAAAAAAGGGGGAGGAUGGAGAAGGGAAAAAAAGAAUUAAGGUGUGUAACCAUACCUGGCCAAUUCCCCACAGUGAAUGUAAUCAUUAUGUACUGCAAACAUGUACUAAUAAAAAUUAAAAAUAUUGGAGUGAGUCAUUUAUGAAAUGCAAAUUAAAACAACACUGAAAUUUUUAAAAAAACAUCGAGAUUCCAUCUCACUCCAGAAAGAAUGGCUGCUAUCAAGAAAUUAACCAAUUGGGCCGGGGAUUUAGCUCAGUGGCACCACACCUGCCUCGAAAGCACAAGGUCCUGGGUUUGAUCCCAGGUACCAAAAAAAGUAGAAAUCAACCAAUAACAAAUGCUGGCUUCAUGGCCGAAGGAAGCAGAGGGUCAAGGGAGGAGCAGGGGGAGAUAGAGUCUCCCUGGUCACCCCAACCUGGGACCUGCCUCUUCCAACCAAGCCCCACAUCCUAAUAGCUAUAAGGACCUAAAUCUAAU